GAUAACCAAGACCACAUGCUGAGUAGUGCACCGUGAAAGUUACAGAGAUCACCCCGUGGAUUCAUCAUUCCAGAAUCAAGCCUGCCUCUGCAUCAUGUGAAGUAACAUUUGUUGAUCUUGACAACCCUUUUUGAAACUCCAUUCUUAGAGAACAAAGAUACUUGUUGAAAAUAAAUAAAUAAAUAAAUAAAUAUCAACAAGUGGGUGUUUUGAUGGCCAUAAUAAUGCCUGACCACCUG